UCAUACCAGCGAGCUUAGGCUUUUUAGCGCAGACGACCGUACAAAUUUUGUUGACAAAUUUGUGGUGAAACAAAGUGAAGAGACCUUCACAAAGUUGCUGUUUUUUCAACUUUGAUAGUCUACAUUAGACAGCAUGGCUGAAUAUAUGCACCAUCUCCGCCAGCUUGAUCGGAACAGAGAGUUGAUAGGCAGACCUCAGAGAGGCCUUCGUGACCCAUGAACCCUUUUGAAGUGUAUGAUGAGUCCUUUCGGACCAGGUACUGGUUUUCCAAAGAGACAGCGCUCUACCUCAUCAACUUGGUGGAUGAAGAGCUGAGGAGGACGACAGACAGAAACGACCCAAUACCUAGAUCUAUACAGGUAGUGACAGCACUACGAUUCUAUGCUGUUGGGUCAUUCCAAAAGAUGCAUGGUGAUGAGGCACAACUUUCACAGUCUUCUGUAUGCAGAGUCAUCAAAGACGUGUCAGAAGCGUUUGCAA
rnacentral:lncRNA from 15 species